AACCCUCUAAAAGGUAUGUCUGUGCUUUUCUGUUUGGACAUGUAACAAAUGGAGUCAAAGAGAUGUGGACUUGGAGAAGUCUGGAGCCAACUUGCUCAAGAUCACCAUUUCUCACAUGA
rnacentral:snoRNA from 1 species